GUGCUCCUUUCAGCAGCACAUACACUAAAAUUGGAACAAUACAGAGAAGAUUAGCAUGGUCCCUGCACAAGGGUGAAAUGCAAAUUUUUGAAGCAUUCCAUAUUUUU
ensembl:snRNA U6 U6 spliceosomal RNA